rnacentral:rRNA from 1 species
UACGGGGGGAGCAAGCGUUGUUCGGAUUUACUGGGCGUAAAGGGCGCGUAGGCGGUCAGCACAAGUCAGUUGUGAAACCUCCGGGCUUAACUCGGAAAGGUCAACUGAUACUGUGCGACUAGAGUGCAGAAGGGGCAACUGGAAUUCUCGGUGUAGCGGUGAAAUGCGUAGAUAUCGUAAGGAAGACCAGUGGCGAAGGCGGGUCUCUGGACAGUUCCUGACGCUGAGGCACGAAGGCCAGGGGAGCAAACGGG